rnacentral:rRNA from 1 species
CCUACGGGGGGCUGCAGUGGGGAAUUUUGGACAAUGGGGGCAACCCUGAUCCAGCCAUGCCGCGUGAGUGAAGAAGGCCUUCGGGUUGUAAAGCUCUUUCGGCCGGGAAGAAAUCGCUUCGGCUAAUACCUGGAGUGGAUGGCGGUACCGGAAGAAGAAGCACCGGCUAACUACGUGCCAGCAGCCGCGGUAAUACGUAGGGUGCAAGCGUUAAUCGGAAUUACUAGGCGUAUUGCUUGCGCAGGCGGGAAAUCCCCGGGCUUAACCUGGGAACUGCGUGUGUGACUGCGAGACUUGAGUGCGGCAGAGGGGGGUGGAAUUCCACGUGUAGCAGUGAAAUGCGUAGAGAUGUGGAGGAACACCGAUGGCGAAGGCAGCCCCCUGGGUCGACACUGACGCUCAUGCACGAAAGCGUGGGGAGCAAACAGGAUUAGAUACCCCGGUAGUC